AUUUGGAUAACUUAUAAAUCAUCUCAAGCAAUAUCUGUCCCAAAGAGACUGGCUCGUUUUUCUCUCUCCUAUAGAUGUUUUGGCUGUUAUGCUCCAGAAGGUCUCAGUUCCACAGCUUUCUUGGCCAGCCAGGGCAGAUGCUAUAAUUCUCUGUUGCUUUUCUGUAGACAAAGGUUUCUCAUCUAGAAAAUGAGAUUGCUGAUAAUAUCUACCUCACAUGAUCAUUAUGAGAAGUACAUGAACCAUGCAUAGCACAGAGGAAGUCAUCAAUGGCAGAAUGUACAUGCAACGACUCUUGGCAACAUAAGAGGAAGUCAGCUUUGGCCCUUCUAGGAAUGUUUUCCACACAAGUCAGGAACUUGCCACCUUUCCUGCCUCUGGACACUUGCCUCUCCUGUGUGAGGAUUCCUGGAGCUGCUACUAUCAUCUUGUCAGCACAAAGGAAUCUCACACCCCUGGGAUUAACCAACCCUGUAACCAUCCUACCUCUGAAACUCUUAUGUGAAU
ensembl:lncRNA